UCGGACACAUUUUAUCUUGUGCAUUCUAUCAUGACGGGUUUCUUCUUAUAUAAGUCAAAUUUUCUCGACUUAGGCACAUCGGAUAUAUUUUGUUUUGUGCCACCAACCGUGGUAGUUUUCUUCUUACGCUUGUUAGGUUUUCCCGACAGGUGUCCGAGGCACAUUUUGUUUUAGACCUCCCAUUGUGACGGAUUUUUUUCUUACACAGAUCUGAUUUUCCCAAUACAC
rnacentral:lncRNA from 1 species